AUGCGGUUUUGUGGUUUUCACCAUAAGAUUUUCUACAUUAGGGUAAUUACUUCAAUGCUGGUUCUGUUUCUUUGCCUCCAACAGAAAUGCAUGCUUGAAUUGGAUGCUAUAUACCCUGUCAAAGUGUGGGAGUAUGAGGGCCAGGGGUCAACCAGUGGCUCUUUGAGUUGCUGCAGUCGUCAGGACUCUACCGACAACCUCAACUUCCUUGCUGACCUUGGAACAAAGUUCAAGACUUUGGCUGAGAUUUGUUCCCCUCCUUCAUCAGCUGUCAGAUCCUCUGUGACACAGACAGCAAUGGCUACUCCCAGAAGGACAUCUGAUUUGGUUGAACCAGUUUUUAAGCCUGUAAUUGAAACAAAGUCCCUCAUUGAAUCAAAGCCUCUUAUUGAAACAAAGCCUCUUAUUGAAAAAAAGUCUGUUUUUGAAACAAAGCGUCUUAUCGAAACAAAGCGUCUUAUUGAAACAAAGCCUCUUAUUGAAACAAAGCCUCUUAUCGAAACAAAGCCUCUUAUUGAAACAAAGCCUCUUAUUGAAACAAAACCUCUUAUUAAAACAAAGCGGUCUAAUGGAACCACAGAGAAAACUGCAGUGCCUACAAAUAUCUUUACUUCGGCUUCAAAUGAAGUUAGCAGCUCCCAUUCAUCCAUGAGUCUUCCCCACUCUCAGAUGACAAACAUCGGCCAUUCCUCUGAUGUGGGGUAUUCUUCUUUGCUGCAUUAUCCCACUCAGAGAGUCACGCUGCAGGAGCCAUUUUGCUACAACGUCAACACUUUACUGCAACCUAUGCAGUACAUGGUGGCACCCAAUGUACAGAACAGCAUUAUGCUUGAGGACUGGUCCAGUGCACCCAACCUUUCAGGCAUGGUUAUGGUCAAUGGUUCCCAGGGUCUAUCUGAAGCUUUUGUUAGUGGAGCUCCAGGCUCUUUCACAGGGUUGGUCACCUCAAACACAGAGGGCUGUGUAAACUUUCAAAGUCCUGCCAGUCCAAUAAGUCCAUUUGGAGCCACGGUACUGCUGCCUGGCUCCCCAGCUUCUGGAGAAGUCCUUAUGUCCCCAGGAUCUGUCUCUAUGGACAGCUGGAGAAUAAUGCCACAAAAUUCUAGUGACAACUACAUGUUACUCUCUGAUGGUCCAUUAGAGGUUGAAGAAAAAGACCCAGAACAUUUCCAGAUAAUGGUUUCGAACCAACCUUAUUAA
rnacentral:lncRNA from 1 species